AUACGGAGGGUGCGAGCGUUAAUCGGAAUUACUGGGCGUAAAGCGUACGUAGGCGGUUAUUUAAGUUAGAUGUGAAAGCCCCGGGCUUAACCUGGGAACUGCAUUUAAAACUGGGUAACUAGAGUUUGAUAGAGGAGAGUGGAAUUUCAGGUGUAGCGGUGAAAUGCGUAGAGAUCUGAAGGAACAUCAGUGGCGAAGGCGGCUCUCUGGAUUAAAACUGACGCUGAGGUACGAAAGCGUGGGUAGCAAACAGGAUUAGAAACCCUAGUAGUCC
rnacentral:rRNA from 1 species